CAUUAGAUGGCUGAAAAUAGCAUUGGUCUCUUAAACCAUUUUAUAGUAUCUAAUACUUCUAAUGA
rnacentral:tRNA from 1 species